AUUGAACGCUGGCGGAAUGCUUUACACAUGCAAGUCGAACGGCAGCACGGGGGCAACCCUGGUGGCGAGUGGCGAACGGGUGAGUAAUACAUCGGAACGUGCCCGGUCGUGGGGGAUAACGUAGCGAAAGUUACGCUAAUACCGCAUACGAUCUGAGGAUGAAAGCGGGGGACCUUCGGGCCUCGCGCGAUCGGAGCGGCCGAUGUCAGAUUAGGUAGUUGGUGGGGCAAAGGCCUACCAAGCCGACGAUCUGUAGCUGGUCUGAGAGGACGACCAGCCACACUGGGACUGAGACACGGCCCAGACUCCUACGGGAGGCAGCAGUGGGGAAUUUUGGACAAUGGGCGCAAGCCUGAUCCAGCCAUUCCGCGUGCAGGACGAAGGCCUUCGGGUUGUAAACUGCUUUUGUAUGGAACGAAAAGGCUCUGGCUAAUACCUGGGGCUCAUGACGGUACCGUAAGAAUAAGCACCGGCUAACUACGUG
rnacentral:rRNA from 1 species